UUAGUGGAAGCGUCUGGAAAGGCGCGCGAUACAGGGUGACAGCCCCGUACACAAAAGCGCAUGUGCUGUGAGCUCGAUGAGUAGGGCGGGACACGUGGUAUCCUGUCUGAAUAUGGGGGGACCAUCCUCCAAGGCUAAAUACUCCUGACUGACCGAUAGUGAACCAGUACCGUGAGGGAAAGGCGAAAAGAACCCCGGCGAGGGGAGUGAAAAAGAACCUGAAACCGUGUACGUACAAGCAGUGGGAGCACCCUUCGGGGUGUGACUGCGUACCUUUUGUAUAAUGGGUCAGCGACUUAUAUUCUGUAGCAAGGUUAACCGUAUAGGGGAGCCGGAGGGAAACCGAGUCUUAACCGGGCGUUAAGUUGCAGGGUAUAGACCCGAAACCCGGUGAUCUAGCCAUGGGCAGGUUGAAGGUUGGGUAACACUAACUGGAGGACCGAACCGACUAAUGUUGAAAAAUUAGCGGAUGACCUGUGGCUGGGGGUGAAAGGCCAAUCAAACCGGGAG
rnacentral:rRNA from 1 species